AGCAGCCGCGGUAAUUCCAGCUCCAAUAGCGUAUAUUAAAGUUGUUGUGGUUAAAAAGCUCGUAGUUGGAUCUCGGCGGACUGAGGGCGGUUUGCUUGCUAGUAUUACUGCCCUAUAGUCCGUAGUUUUGCCAGAGGUUUCGGGGUGCUCUUAAUCGAGUGCCCCGGGAUGCUGGCAGGUUUACUUUGAAAAAAUUAGAGUGCUCAAAGCAGGCUAUUACGCCUGAAUAUUCGUGCAUGGAAUAAUAGAAUAGGAAGUCGUUUCUAUUUUGUUGGUUUUCGGAAAUCGACUUAAUGAUUAAUAGGGACAGUCGGGGGCAUUUGUAUUCAAACGACAGAGGUGAAAUUCUUGGACCGUUUGAAGACAAACUACUGCGAAAGCAUUUGCCAAGAAUGUUUUCAUUAAUCAAGAACGAAAGUUAAAGGUUCGAAGGCGAUUAGAUACCGCCCUAGUUUUAACCAUAAACGAUGCCAGCUAGCGAUCUGCGGACGUUUUUUUUGUAGACUCCGCAGGAAGCUUCCGGGAAACCAAAGCAUUUGGGUUCCAGGGGAAGUAUGGUUGCAAAGCUGAAACUUAAAGGAAUUGACGGAAGGGCACCACCAGGAGUGGAGCCUGUGGCUUAAUUUGACUCAACACGGGAAAUCUCACCAGGCCCGGACACUGGAAGGAUUGACAGAUUGAUAGCUCUUUCUUGAUUCGGUGGGUGGUGGUGCAUGGCCGUUCUUAGUUGGUGGAGUGAUUUGUCUGGUUAAUUCCGAUAACGAACGAGACUCUGUCCUGCUAAAUAGUGUCUGCUUCUCUUUUGAGCAGACAAUUCUUCUUAGAGGGACUGGCGACUCUUAGUCGCACGAGAUUGAGCAAUAACAGGUCUGUGAUGC
rnacentral:rRNA from 1 species